rnacentral:rRNA from 1 species
AACGAACGCUGGCGGCAGGCUUAACACAUGCAAGUCGAGCGCCCCGCAAGGGGAGCGGCAGACGGGUGAGUAACGCGUGGGAAUCUACCGUGCCCUACGGAAUAGCUCCGGGAAACUGGAAUUAAUACCGUAUACGCCCUACGGGGGAAAGAUUUAUCGGGGUAUGAUGAGCCCGCGUUGGAUUAGCUAGUUGGUGGGGUAAAGGCCUACCAAGGCGACGAUCCAUAGCUGGUCUGAGAGGAUGAUCAGCCACAUUGGGACUGAGACACGGCCCAAACUCCUACGGGAGGCAGCAGUGGGGAAUAUUGGACAAUGGGCGCAAGCCUGAUCCAGCCAUGCCGCGUGAGUGAUGAAGGUCUUAGGAUUGUAAAGCUCUUUCACCGGUGAAGAUAAUGACGGUACCUGGAGAAUAAGCUCCGGCUAACUCCGUGCCAGCAGCCGCUGUAACAC